CAUCAUCCAUACUACCUCUGCUACCCAUGAUAUUCCUGGUACUAUAGUUCAUGCUUCAUGCUGCCACAUGUUUGCACAAAUCCGCCAACAACAUCCACAACCCAUCUGAUACCCCUGAUUGUUACUGUCUGCUGCCACUUUGUGAGAUCCUGCGUUCCCCAUGUGGGCGGAGUUGUGAGACAUGCACAGCUGUUUCCAAACUACCCGAUACCUCUCAAGCAGCGUCUUGACAGCUGAAAGGCACUCGGCGAUUCCACUCCUCGACUCUCCACGUCAGAAGUUUCCUAUGAUUCCCGAGUUUUUUGAUGCUUACCUUUUUGGUUUUUCCCAGUGCCAUACAUCUUAGUGUUGAGUGGUAGUUUGCACGUCUUGCAACUCCAACCCAAGUCUAGUUAUUUUUGUAUAUUAGCUUUUGUUCUUUUUUCUACGGUGCUCAUUUUGUUUUCUCUUUUUUGCACCGUCGCCUUUUGUUAUCUCCUGUUUGGAUCAUUGUUGUGAGUACUUUUCCAUAAGCAAAAUAACUGUUUUACUCAAUGUCUGUCUGCAUCCUUGGGUUCCUCUCUGCUGCAUUUAAUAGCAUU